CGAAAAAAAACCCCACCAGAGGAAAACCCGCUCCUCUCGAUUCCUAUCCCCAUGACGUACGACAUCCUUCGCCGCAGCCCCAUCUCCGAUCUCCCUUCGCCGCCGCCCUCGCACUCGCAUCAAGUCGCCGCCGAUCCCUGCGCUACCUCCGCCCUGCGCCACCACUCCUAUGACGCCGCCUCCCGCCAGUCUCCACCAGCACCGCGACGUGCGUGGCCUCCACACGCGCCGUCACUGCCCCUCGAGGUCCGGCCGUCGUCGAGGGCGUAUCCAUCCAGCAGUGCGCCGUCACCUCCCUUCCAGAUCCGGCCGUCGUCAAGGUCGUAUCCAUCCAGCAGCACGCUGGCAUCCCAAUCAUCACCUUCCGCGGUGUCAUCGCCCAGGCCCAGUAUGGGGCCGGCAAGACGUCCAUGAUCUCCCUCUUCGUCUGCCAGGUUAUCGAGACCAACGUCCACAAGGUGCAGGCAUUAGCGACGACAUGGACAGGGGCUUCACUGACAGGAAGAACUUGCUCAUGGACCGCAGGACCAUGGCUCCCAAGAUCGACGACCUCAGGUCUCAGCCGUGCCUUUAGGGUUCCUCUCAAGAAUUACACACAAGUUUCUUACUCGAGGUACCGACCCUGAGGUCCUUCUUGGUGCCACAUGUGGUUGGUGGGCUGCAUUUUUAAGUUGGUAUGAUGAACUGGACUUUGUAAAUGAGCACAUAUAUACACUGAAUCCUGGUAAAUGGCAGCUGAAUUUCAAGUACAGGGGACUCUUCUGCCCGAUCACAGUUUUCACACAUUAAUAACUAUAUGGCUCCAUCAGCGUGAACGCAAAGAUGUGAACGUCCAUAUCGGUCUUGUUUGAUAUUCUUUGAGUUGGUUUAGAUAGAGAGAAGUGACCUCUUUCAUGUCAAGUGCAUGUGCCAUUUACUACAGCCAAAGUGUAGACUGAUGUACGCUCAUAACUUGUUCUUUUGCUUUUUCUUGGCUGCAUGCUUGCAUCCAAUUCAGAUUUUCCAUGUGCACUUCAGAACUAAUCAUGCUUGUACAGAUGAGGAAUUGAGCAUGUUUUUUAGUCUUUGAUGGAAACUGAACAAGUUUCUCAUGAGUUUUUUUAUAUACUUCAAGCCUACUGCUCAUCCAGCUCUAUGUGCAGUUUGGAGAUAUGCUUUAUUGAUCAUGCAACCUCCUUCUUUUCUCAUCCCUUUUAUGUUUUUAUUUCAAAUACUCUGUGUUAGCAAAAUCCUGUUGCAUGACUAGACCAACUAUCUGGUGAUUCAGGCACUACAUUAGUGAUUGGGGCAAUGGUCAGACCUGCUUGCAUGAAAAAAAGGGCAAUUUUGAUGUGCUUGCAGGAGCUCAGAACUCACCUAUUGAUGACUCACCUUGGAAACUGGUUUUUUAAAGGCUGACAAGGCGACAUAUGCGGGGCCUUCUUCAGUUUCAAGUCACACAUGCCAUCGUCGUCCAGUGCCGCCCUGGACUAGCAGCUUGUCGCCUACACCUCAAUACAAUACCCAGAAGUGCAUCCGCGCCGGCAGCAAGCACAACGACCUUGACGCCAUGGGAAACAAUACUCCUUGAUGGGAACUAGACCUUCAGGUAUGAUGGGAGCUUCGAAGAGGAAGCCAGCGGAUAUUCAUGGGAGCUCCUCGUCAAAGUGAGGGAUUUAGUAUAGAAAGCUACUUUACAAGUAGUCUCAAGCUGGAGGAUAACAGAUUGGUCGCGACGUUAAGGAUCCCCAUCAAUGUUAUACUAUUUGUCUCCAGGUUGGACUGUUACACGCUGCUGUUCCCCGUUGCGUUCUGGAUCAGAAAGAGAUCGAAAUCCCUUUCUUCUUCUCCCCCAUGUCGCCGUCGAUGGCUCCCUUGGGGCAGCGCUGAACUCCGACCAGCAACGGUGGUCAGAGUCUUGGUGGUGGUGGCGGCGGCGGCGGUGCAACCCGUCAAUCUUCCCCGACCUGUUCCUUCUCCCACGGCCGCUCUCUCCCCCGUCCUCAAACCCUAGGUCGACGGCUCUGUCGAUGCGGCGGCGGCUGCUGCGGUCUGUCUGAUUUCGCGGCGGCGCAGACGAACUGAGGUUAAGCAAUGGAUCAACUAGAUUGGUUAGGCAUCCGUUUCUUUUACAAUGGCCAAUUUGAGAAUUCAAACAAGCAAUUGUCAUAUGUUGGUGGUAAUAUACAACUCACAUCUGUUGAGAGGUACAAUAUAUCCUUAGCUACUGUCAGGGAGCAGUUAGCAGAUAUAAAGAUGGCCUACCAUGGUGAAGAGAUAACAGAGAAGCAUAGGCUUUACUGGUUGUUUCUUGGAAAAAAAUGUUAGAGAUGGGUUGAGACGACUGGACACUGAUAGAAAUGUGUUCUUCAUGGAUAGGUGUAUUACAGAUUGUGGGGUUGUGGAUGUGUAUGUGAAUUAUGAAGAUGAUGUUGAUGAAGAUGGACAGAACAGUGUGUCUGAUAUUGGAGAGAAAGAGGAAGAGGAAACUAAUGCUGCAAUUGAAGAAGACAAGACAGAAGAGAAGAGUGGCAGUGAUUGGGAAGAUGAGCAUGACAAUUGCUCUGCUGAGGAUGACCUGGAGCACAGUUCAGAGGAAGAUGUGGAUGAGCCUGACAAGACUGAGUAUGCUGUACAAGAUGAAUUGCAACCUGAAACUGGAAAUGUUCCUGAAGUAGAUGUUGCACCUGAUGAAAUAAGGGAUGAAUAUGCAGAUCUUGAUUGGUGCCCUAAAGAUGAAGACAGUUCAGGUGAAGAUGAUGAGGCAGAGGAGCUCAGAAAGCAUGCUAAGGAAGUGCUCAGAAAGAUCGGAAUGGGGUUGCCACUUGAUGAAGAGAAGGAAGUGAAAGAAAGUACAACACAAUUAAUUCCUUUUGAUGAAAUGGACGAAGGAAAUGACACUCCAUACAUGGAUUCCAGUGAGGAAUACAGUUAUGAUGAGGAUGAGCAUGGGAAUUCAUUUAGGAUGAAAUCAAGAUUUCCAAGAUUUGAUAGCAAGGCUGCAAUUCCAAUAUUCAGUUUGGGCAUGACAUUUAGAGGAAGAAGUCGUUCAAGAGGGCACUCGUGAAGUAUGGCCUGGCUAUGAAGAGGCAUAUUUGCUUUGUAAAAGAUGAGGCUGGUAGGAUUAGGGCAAAAUGUUCUUGGCCUAAGUGUCCUUGGUUGAUUUAUGGUGCAAAGAGGAGCUCAAAUGAUUGGUUUCAAGUCAUAACACUUGUUGACAACCACAUAUGCCCAAAGAGGAGAGACAACAGAUUGGUUACUGCACCUAGAAUUGCAGACAAGUAUGAGAGAAUUAUGAAGGCAAAUCCAGGAUGGAAAGUGAAAUCUAUUAAGGCCACUGUCAUAUUAGAGAUGUUUGCAGAUGUGCAUGUUUCCAAAAUAAAGAAAGCAAAAGCAAUAGUCAGAAAGAGAGUUAGAGAAGCAAUGCAUGAAGAAUAUGCCAGGGUGUUUGAUUAUCAGCUAGAAAUAUUGAGGAGCAAUCCAGGAAGCACUGUGGCAGUUGUGCUUAAUCCAAAAGAAACUGCACCAGUUUUUCAGAGAUUGUAUGUGUGCUUUCAGGCUUGCAAGAGAGGUUUCAUAGAAGGGUGCAGGAAAGUAGUGGGUUUGGAUGGCUGCUUCUUUAAGGGGGCUCAAAGUGGAGAGCUACUAUGUGCUCUUGGAAGAGAUGCAAAUGGGCAAAUGUAUCCCAUUGCUUGGGCGGCAGUUGAGGUGGAAAAUAAGGACUCCUGGUUUUGGUUUAUGGCAUUGUUAAAUAAAGACUUGGAGAUUUCAAAUCAAGGUGAAGGCUGGGUGUUUAUAUCAGAUUAGCAGAAAGGUCUAAUCAAUGCAAUUUCAAAGGUUGUACCGAGAGCUGAACACAGAAAUUGUGCUAGGCACAUUUAUGCUAACUGGAAGAAAAAACAUAGGGACCAGAAAUACCAGAAGAGAUUUUGGGCUUGUGCAAAGUCUUCUAACAGAGUUCAGUUUAAUUUGAACAGGGCAAAGCUUGCUCAGCUCACACCAGAAGGAGCAAGAGACAUGAUGCAGGCUGGGCCUGAACAUUGGUGUAGAGCAUGGUUCAAAGAAGGAUCAUUCUGUGAUUCAGUCGACAACAAUAUGUGUGAAAGUUUUAACAAUUGGAUAGUGGAAUAUAGAGGUCUUCCUAUAAUCAGUAUGUUUGAAGCAAUCAGAGUAAAGGUGACAGUUAGGAUUCAAGUUAAUAGAGCUAUGCCAGCCAAUUGGAAUGGAACAAUUUGUCCCAAAAUCCUCAAAAAGGUGAACAAGUUUAUACAACUUACUGAGAAGUGUGAGACAAUAUGGAAUGGAAAAGAUGGAUAUGAGGUGAAGUUAGGAUAGCAUGGAUUCAAAGUUGACUUGCAAGCAGGAACAUGUUCUUGUAGAUACUGGCAAUUGUCAGGAAUUCCAUGUGUUCAUGCUCUAGCAGUUUCACAGUGUGGCCCUAAUGACAUAGAUUCACUUAUUGCACCUUGCUACAGAAUUGAAGCUUACAACAAGACAUAUGAACAUGUCAUGAUGCCAAUGGAGGGCAUGCCUAGCUGGCCAAUAUCUGACAGACCUAGACCAUUAGUUCCAAGCUAUGUGCAAAUGCCUGGGAGGCCCAGGACAGAGAGAAUAAGAGGUGGAGAUGAGCCUCCUAAGCAUGCACACAAACUCUCCAAGAUUGGAACUAAGAUCAAGUGUAGUUUACGAUGGAAAUCCUGGGCACAACAUGAGGAAAUGCAAUACUAACCCCAACAAGGGAAAGUACAAGAAUAGGAAGAGGAAAAAAGAAACAAAAGAAAAUCCUCCAAGGACAUCUCAAAGAGUAGCAUAUGAAACUGCUACAGCCCAGUCUUCACAGCAUGCAGCUCAAACAUCACAUCAAGCUGCAGGAGGAAGAGCCCAGUCUUCACAGCAAGCUACAGGAGGGAGAGGCCAGUCUUCACAGCAAGCUACAGGAGGGACAGCACAGCCUAGAAGGGGAAGGCCUCCAAAGCAAGCAAACAGAACAGCUGGUGCUAGUUCUAGUCAGAGAAGGAGGAAAUCUACCAGGGUUAGCAUGUUUGAUGAACUGAGAGGUUAAACAGGAAAAAUUUCUGUUGUUUAGAGCCUUCAAAUUGUGUUUGUUGUUGUUUGAUGAACUUGUGUUUGUUGCUGUUAAACUGCACAAUUUCUUUUUAAGGAACUAGUGUUUGUUACUGCUAA